rnacentral:rRNA from 1 species
CUACGGGCGGCAGCAGUCGAGAAUAGUCUACAAUGGACGAAAGUCUGAUAGUGCGACGCCGCGUGGAUGAAGAAGCAUUUCGGUGUGUAAAGUCCUUUUCUGUGUGAGCAAUGUUUUCCAGGUUAAUAGCUUGGAGAAAGCGAUAUUAACACAGGAAUAAGCUCCGGCUAACUCCGUGCCAGCAGCCGCGGUAACACGGGGGGAGCAAGCGUUGUCCGGAAUUACUAGGCGUAAAGGGUAAGUAGGCGGAAUUGUAAGUCAGAUGUUAAAGGCACCGGCUCAACCGGUGUAUGGCAUUUGAUACUGUAAUUCUAGAGUAAGGUGGGGGAAGACGGAAUUCCUGGUGUAGCGGUGGAAUGCGUAGAUAUCAGGAGGAACACCAGAGGCGCAGGCGGUCUUCUAUACCAUUACUGACGCUCAAUUACGAAGGCGUGGGUAUCAAACAGGAUUAGAUACCCCCGUAGUC